rnacentral:rRNA from 1 species
AAAGACACUGAAACAGACGUACCAAGGAGAAUAUCCCCAAGGUCGCCAUUUGCGUUCAGAAAUCUGAUGAUUCACUGAAUUCUGCAAUUCACAUUGCGUUUCGCAGUUCGCUGCGUCCUUCAUCGUUGCGCGAGCCAAGACAUCCAUUGCUGAAAAUUU